rnacentral:lncRNA from 1 species
AUAGAUGAAUCUUUUCUGCAGUCUUUGAGCAGCAACUUGGAGGGAGGAACCCCUAUAGAGUUCCAAGGAGGCCGAUCCCCUAAAGAGAUCAACCCCAAGUUUAGAAUCUGCAAGGGUUCUAACACCUGGUAUCAGAGCAGCGUUCUUGGCAUCUCGCUGCCCUUCCACAGCCAUCCAUCAACCCUCUACAACCAUCCAAAGCAAUUCCCACAAUUGCGUAAAAGAUCGUCACCGAAUUCCGCCAUCAUCUCCACCACCGCGGAUCAUCCUUUGAUCUCCCCGUGAAUUGAAACAGGUUCUGGUUUCCUACCUUACUGCUG